rnacentral:antisense_RNA from 1 species
UGUGGGAGCGAGCCUGCUCGCGAAGGCGUCGUGUCAGACAGUUUUUUUGUAGCUGGCACACCGCUUUCGCGAGCAGGCUCGCUCCCACA